AAAAAAAAAUGGGGAAAUGCUAACUCGUGAGAAGGGGAACAACCCAUGUAGCUUCUCCGCCCUCUCUUCGUCCGCUUGGCGAGGCCUUUGGAGGGGAAGACGCUGCCCCAUUCUAGGGGAUGCCCCUUGGAGAAGAUCCUUCUCAAACGUCGCCACUCAUAUCCAUUCGCUACAUCAUCCUGUCUAAAACUUGAAGCCCCGCAUGUUGGUGGAGAAGAGGACACUCUAAGGAGGGUUGUAGAAAGCAUGGCCGCGGAAAAUCCAGGGAUUCAAGGGGACCGAUCUCCAUGUUAAGUGCAUGAUUGGUUGCAUCAGAAUUUGUCUCUGACACGUUGAUGUUGUUUUUCAAGUACUCACUCGGCGGAUUGCAGUGCUUACUGUUUGUGAUGCUAUUAGGAGAAAGGAUGAUUGCUGAACAUUGUGAUUUAUACCAUUAUUUGCCUAUAUUUGUUGUUGUGGUUCUGGGUUCUGUAUAUUCGAUCAUGUAAGCUGAUGCCAUUUUGUAUAAACAGUGUUUUUAGGUAUAUAUAUCUUUGGAGUUUGACCACCAAAGUAUGGGUGUGCGUCAUGUGUUACUUAUGAAGUUCACUCACUAACAUGCCAUUGUGAUAGAAUGGAUAUGCUUACGA